rnacentral:tRNA from 2 species
CGAAUCCUAAAAAAUCCUUUAAA